rnacentral:rRNA from 1 species
CCUUUCGGGGUUAAGUAGAGUGGCGAACGGGUUAGUAACGCGUGGGAACAUACACAGCACAGGGGGAUAACCAUUGGAAACGAUGGCUAAUACCGCAUACGCCCUAUUGGGGAAAGAUUUAUCGGUGUUGGAUUGGCCCGCGUUAGAUUAGCUAGUUGGUGGGGUAAUGGCUCACCAAGGCGACGAUUUAUAGCUGGUUUGAGAGGAUGAUCAGCAACACUGGAACUGAGACACGGUCCAGACUCCUACGGGAGGCAGCAGUCGGGAAUAUUGUGCAAUGGGGGCAACCCUGACACAGCCAUGCCGCGUGAGUGAAGAAGGCCUUAGGGUUGUAAAGCUCUUUCAGAUGUGAGGAUGAUGACGAUAGCAUCAGAAGAAGCUCCGGCUAACUUCGUGCCAGCAGCCGCGGUAAUACGAAGGGAGCUAGCGUUGUUCGGAAUUACUGGGCGUAAAGGGCGUGUAGGCGGAUUAUCAAGUUAGGGGUGAAAUCCCGGGGCUCAACCUCGGCACUGCCUUUAAGACUGAUAAUCUAGAGUAUGUGAGGGGAUAAUG